CCAAAAGAUGGUGAACUAUGCCUGGGCAGGGCGAAGCCAGAGGAAACUCUAGUGGAGGUCCAUAGCGGUCCUGACAUACAAAUCGGUCUUCUGACCUGGUAUAGGGGCAAAGGACUAAUCCAACCAUCUAGUAGAUG
rnacentral:ncRNA from 1 species